rnacentral:rRNA from 1 species
CAAUAGCGUAUAUUAAAGUUGUUGCAGUUAAAAAGCUCGUAGUUGGAUUUCUGGUAGGAGCGACCGUGCCGAACUUGAUUGUUCGAGUAUUGUGUUGUCUUCAGCCAUCCUCGUGGAGAACUUUUCUAACAUUAACUUGUUGGGAUUGGGACCCGCGUCGUUUACUGUGAAAAAAUUAGAGUGUUUAAAGCAGGCAUUUGCUUGAAUACAUUAGCAUGGAAUAAUAAGAUAGGACUUUGGUACUAUUUUGUUGGUUUGCAUACCAAAUUAAUGAUCAACAGGAACAGUUUGAGGAUAUUCGUAUGAACAUGUCAGAGGUGAAAUUCUUGGAUUUUGAUCAGACGAACUACUGCGAAAGCAUUUAUCAAGGAUGUUUUCAUUAA